rnacentral:rRNA from 1 species
UACGGAGGGUGCAAGCGUUAUCCGGAUUCACUGGGUUUAAAGGGCGCGUAGGUGGGCAGGUAAGUCAGUGGUGAAAUCUCCGGGCUUAACCCGGAAACUGCCAUCGAUACUAUCUGUCUUGAAUACCGUGGAGGUGAGCGGAAUAUGUCAUGUAGCGGUGAAAUGCUUAGAUAUGACAUAGAACACCAAUUGCGAAGGCAGCUCACUACACGAAUAUUGACACUGAGGCACGAAAGCGUGGGGAGCGAACAGG